GACGGGGCCGUUUUGUCCUCUGUGUCAGUUGCUUCGCCGGGUGAAAAAGUUUCCACCUGAGAUUUUGGGGCACCUCGAUCAUUUGUAGUCCUGAGCCACAUCCAGAAUGGAAAUUGUGUAAUUUAAAGCAGCAGAGGAUGUGCUGCUUCCAAACUACAAAGAAAACCAAGAAAAAGGAAACCAGAGAAAUGAGAAAACAGGAGAUUCAACAUAAGAACUACUACUACUAGAGGAAAGAAGGCUGGAGAGAAUUGGGAGAGGUAUAAAAUCUAACCCAUUAUCCAAAUGGGCUAGCACUUUAUUUUUAUGACUGGACCAGCAAAACCAAAUCCUUCAUAUUGCCUCUCACAACUCUCAGGACCAAGAACAAACAUUUACUA